AAGGAGAAAUGUGUUGAAUUGCAUGAGAAAGAGUGACAAUGUGUCUCUUUAGCCCCUUUAAAAGAAGUGAAACACUCAAAAGAGUCGAGAGAAUUGUGCCAAAAUGAAUCAAAAGAAGUGCUUAAGGGAAGAUUGAACCCACUUGAAUAGAAACAUGUCCUUACCCAAAAGCCGUCACAAUGACUCCACAAAAGCCCUAUAUGAUCUUGAGUUGGAUGAUGCUCGCAUUAGUGGUUACUUACAUGAGGGUCAAGCAUGUGGUACUUAGAGCCAGACUUGUUGCCUUUCCAUGUCUGAAACGAGUGAAUUCCCAUUAACCUCGAUUUGUGUGCUUAACUAUAAAAGGCGAGGUUUGCUUAGGGAGAGUUGAGGAUGUUUGAGUUUGGGUUCCACAACGACCAAAGUAAUUGAGAGAGUUCCUUGAUGUAAUGAGUCAAUUUUUUAUGCUCUUAUGUCACACUUGAUACAUGGUUUUUCAAAGUUUAAAUGUGUUAAUAAUGCAUUCAUAUUGAGGGCAAUUGUUAGUCCCAAUUGAUGAAUGUUGAGGUAACUUUAGGAUAAUUUGAAUUACUUGGAUCUUCCUUCAGGGGGUGAGUCUUAUUUUGUUUGCUUGAGGAAAAACAAAUGUUUAAGUUUGGGAGAGUUAAUAAGUCAGGAUUUUUACGUAUUUUAUGCCCCUACUUGCCUAUGCUUUGAUUAUAAAUUGCUACAAAAUAGUCCCAAAAUGCUCACAAGUUGUGCUUGAUUACAGGUUUGAUCGACAAAGUGAACGAAAUGUCAAAGAUUGUCUAAGGAGUGAAACCUACUCAAGUAUCAAAGACCGAGUGAACUGAAGGAAAGAAGGCCUAAUGCGGACCGCACAAAAGAAACUACGGCCACACUAGGAAGUUCAGAGACAAGUCCAAUUUGGGGUUAAGGCUACGCGGCCGCGGUACUCGUUAAGCGGUCCGCGGUGAUGGCUUCGCGGCCGCACUACCUUUUGGUGUGGUCCGCGGAGCAAAUGUUCAGAGAGGUGUGAAUCCCAAGUGUCAAUGCCAUUCGGUCCGAAGUCAUCACCGUGUGGACUGCACCAGAUUCCCUUCGCGCCCCCGGUACACUUCCACGCGAUCUUUGUCCUCCAAUUCAAAGAGGCAAGUAGUUGAGACCAAGAGCCGGUGCAACCGCGGUCCAUUUUGCGCGGCCCGCACUCACCCCUCAGGGGUAUUUUUUUCUAGAUUUUUCAGCCUAGUAUAAAUAGACAAUUUUACUGUUUUAUGUCAGUUUUUGGUAUUCCAUACUUAUAUACGCUCGUGAGACUCGAUUUUAUAGCCCUUUUUGGCACUUUUGCUUUUUAUUAAUGAUAGAUUAUUGUAGUUUCUUCUUAAUAAUUAAUUAAUAUGCUUAGUUCUUCGUCUAUUUCUUUCAUUUCUAUAUCUAGCACUAGUAGCUAAACCCAUUAGCUAGGGUUGUGGCUCAACCCUAGUGUGGGUAAUUGAUGGGUGUUUCCAUCUACGGUAAGAUUGACUAUGGGUAACUGCUAUUUGGGUUGAUUUUAUGUUUUAAUUGAGGAUUGGUGGUUGCAAACACUGAUUCAAGUUUUGUGGGUUUAACCCUUCUUGAGAAAGAGAGUCUAUGACCCCAAAAUUGACCCAACAAGGAUUUGGGAUGGUCUCAUGAGAAAUGAUAUUUCCAAUUAACGGGUUAAAUCUUGAGAGAGUAAUCACCUUACUUGAACCCUAGUUGCUUGGUUUAAUAUACCUACCCAUUUGGUCUCGAGAGAGUAAAUUGGGCAAAAUAACUCUCUCUACCGAGAGGUGUGAGAGAGGGUAAAAUUGCGCAACGGUUAUAGCAUAAGUCCCUACUAUUUCGAUCAAAUCCUAGUUACAUCUACCCAUUAAUUAACCACCUAGGUGAUGUCACGACCCUAGUCCCUUCUUCCCAUUAGAUACAACUUAUCAAUAUUUUCAUAGCAUAAUUAAGUGCUAAUCAUUAGUUUUAUAAAAAUAGUUAUAAUUCAAAAAACCCAAAAAUGAUUGAAGUGACAUUAGAAGUACGAACAUAUCUCUAGAAUAGUCAGAAAAUCCAACUCCGCUACUAGCUCAAUGAGGAAAUCGAUCCUGACCUCUAUUCGGGUAAAGCUAUUGCAACCCGCUCUUCCUACCAUAGUGUAGCGUCGAGUUGGCAGCGAUCACUAGGCAACCAAUAGGUUAUGACUUCUAUAUCUGAAAGUGGUUUAUUUACGCAUAAUCACUUAGAAAUCCUGCUUUAGGACUUUGAUUAAUAAAGACCUUACUUGUGUCUGAGUGGUGCUUCCUGAAUGUUUGUUUGAGGAGGAAUUAUGAGCCUUUUACUUGCUCUAAAGUCCUAGAUGAUUUUUGAUUAUCACCUUAGAUUUUUGCCUUUAAAACCUUAGGGGUACGUCUAGAACCACCUAUAGGUAGAGGUUCUAACUCCCUCCAGGACUAUUAAGAAAGAACGGGUAGCAGCACGCAAUAGGAACUAGUGACCAAACACUCGCUUAUCAUGACCAAUAGGGGAUGGGAAGGGUAGAAAUGGGAUAUGAUGACCACACAUUAAUGCCAUGUGUAGCCCCUCAUCGAGGAGUGCUUACCGGACAUUACAUGGGUUGAUCCUAUAGGACAAACAACCUAGGACCCCUCUUUAUUAAACCCUCUCUUUAUUUAAAACUUUUCAACUGGUUCAAACCUUUAUCUUACUACUUGAACUGUCCAACGUGCUUUACUUGCAACUUAUUUGAUUCAGCUAUUCGGAUGGACUAAUUUUAAAUAUAAGUUUGGUCGGGACCCACAGUUGUGGAUGAAGAGGGGUGCCUAACACCUUCCUCUCGAGGUUAUCUCGAUACCUUACCCUAAUCUUUGGUAACGCAAACCAACCCAAGAGUUAAUCGCUCUAGGUGCCCUAACGUACCAUAAUCCGAUAGGUGGCAACUCUUCAAAUACCCAAUUCCUAAAAGGAGAUGAGUCAUUACACUCCCAUGAAUGACGAAACCCAUACUUCCUCCCUGUGGAGGGAAAAAGGGGGUGCAACAACAUGGAUGCUAGAAGAACGGAUGGAAGAAGUGCAUACACCAACAAGCCAUGUGCGGGAAUUAGAAUAAGGGAACUUAUUUUUGAAGUCCUUAGCUGUAGUAAGCUUUUUGGGGAUAAUGGUUCUCAUAGUAUGAGGAGCAUCAUCAUCAGUACUUUUUCUUUUCUUUGAAAACUGGAGUUUCUGGAAGAGGAGGCCAUAGUUAGCAGAAGCAAGUAAGGGUUUCUAUGAAGAAGAAGUUUAAAAGCAAGAGUGAGUUGAGUAAAGAAAGUUUGAGAGAUUUCGAAAAAUUAUGAAGUGUAAAAGAAGAAGAUUGAAACAUAUAAGUAAGGAAUAGGCAGCUAAAAUCAUGACCAUGACUACCAUGAGAACCGCAAUUGCUGAAUUGUGGGAUGACGCGUGUUUAGGGAAUUAAAUGCAGAAAGACGUACGUCUAAUCAAGCGUCGGAAACUUUUCAGAGGGAAUAAAUGAAUCUUGCCAAUAAAGGUAUCUUUACAAAAUUCCCGAUGACAUAAAGAUGUGCCACUGGAAAUCAGGGGGACUAUAUGUAUAGAGUAAAAUUGGUUCAUAUCAAAUACUCAUAUAAUAUAGCAACACAUGGAAUCAUAGACGGAUGAAAAGCGAGACAAGUUGAAGUCAGGACGGAGCAAUCAAUCUUGGUUGGAACUGGCAAGCCCCUGAAGGGAAUGUUUCUCAUGAAGAUGAAUAAGUACAUGUCACCUAAUAGCAUUUAAUGAAGAAUAUUCUACAAUAUUAAUACAUAGUCCAUUAUUGAGAAUAUGACAUUCAUAGCCUGCCAUACACAUUCUUCAAUGGCCCUUAUAAUUGUCAUUUAAGAGGGGCUUGGUCCUAGGAUCUUGUUCCCUAGGUGCCAAUAUAAAUAGGGAUUUUAAACCAUUGCAGGGACACGAAUUUUCUGACUAACUUAUGAUAUACAAAUUAUUCUAAGCUCAAGAACACUUUAUUUCUUGCUUAUUGUUAUUACUACUAUCUUCGAAAGCCCUACUCCUAGAAUCAAGCUAUAUGCUAUAUCAUCUCGAUUUUAGUGCUAAGUCUUGCAUAUUAUUUAGUUUAUUUAUUAUUUUGGGAUCAAAUUGAUUUGCUUGUCUUUAAAUCACAUAUAAAUUCAACUAUACCAUUUUAUGGGCAAAGAAUACUUUGACGGUGGGGUUGAAAAGAAGAUAGUUGUUGAUGAUAAACCUUUCACCGAGACAAAAUUAUAGUUUGCCGAUGCAAAUUCUACUUAAAAAAUUAUGUCUCAAAGUAGAUUAAGGUUGAUGAAGUGAUGAAGACCAAAAAUAUUGGAAAUAAAGGUGAUAUUACCACUGGUAAGGCAAAGAUUACAGUUGAAAAUCAAGUUUUUUAUGAUAGGAACAAGAUAAACGGGACAUCUUCAAGUAAGAAAGUGACUCAUAUUCUUCACUAUGUCCCAAAAGCAACGAAGGAUGAAGAUUUAUCUUCUGUAUUACAAGGUAAUGUGUUAGGAGGCUUGAUCUUUCCUAUCAAAUGAAUUGUUGUAAUUAAGUCGUCCACAAAGUUUCUUAAAGGGUUUAGAAAAUCAUCAAACCACAAUUCGCUACAACAUCUUGCACUUGGUGCAAGACGCACAUAUGAGGGCUUUGUCCCAAAAUGCCUACAAGUUAUUAGCAAAAGUUGGAUAUGAUCCCAAUGAACCAUCCAACUUAGGAAAGCUCUCACUUGAAGUUUCAAACCCUACUCAAAAGAUGAUGAUGGAGAAUGGGCACCCCUUGAAGCAAUCACAUGAAGGUUUGGGUUACAAACAAACAAUGCCAAUCCGUAUCUCCAUAAAAAAGGCAAGUUGUAACUACAUUACUGCUAGAGAAGAGUCUAUAUCAUUUAAUAAGAAGUCUUUUGUGUUUGAUCGACUUACAAAACUGAAGACCUUAGUAUUUGAUAGAUGGGACCAUUGAAUAAGGAAGACAAACGCAAUGGAAAUAAUUGAAGGAUCAAAGCACCUAUCUUUGCUAAAAAGUAGAUGUCAACCACAAACAACCUGAGGUCUAAUUCCUUCUAGAAUGAGGCGAGAGACAAAGCAUGUAGUUUCGUACGGACAGGUCCUCCAAGAAAAGUCUCAUGCUAUUGUCAUUAAUGCAUCAUCUUGUGUAUGGUCAUCAUAUCAUAUCAUCAGUAUAUCAUAUCAUCAUUAGUGUGUAUGGUCAUUAUAUCAUAUCAUCAUUAAUGAUGAACAAAAUGCUUCAUCUUGUAUGAAAGUCGAGGAAAAGUGGCUUGAUAUUCAUGUAUGUUAUCACAUAUCAUUCGAUGAUGGUGAUACUCAGGAGGAUAAAAUGCUAAAGAUGCACCAUCUGAGCUUGAAGAAAGUUAAAACCAACGAUUGAUGCACUAAAUUGAAGUCAAUCUCAGAGAUGUUGAAGAUCUAAGGCCUACAUAUGCAAGUGUCUCUCUAGCUGGAGAUGAAGAUAUAAAAUAUAUUGAGCUACUUAAGGAGUUCAAAAGAGGUGCUCAUCAUGUGAAGCAAGUACAACGUUUCAUCAGACUUUGAACUACUUCCGUUGAUUGAGACCAAAUUUAACAAGCUUAUCCAACAUGGAUUUCAAGCAAUGUCCCUGUAAGAAAGAAGAAUGGCCAAAUCAAUGUUUGUGUUUACUUUAGGGAAUCAAAUAACGCUUAUCCUAAGCAUGAAUUUCCUCUUCCCAUCCCGAAGCUCAUGAUUUAUGCCACAAUUGGAUAUGAGGCGAUGUCUUUCAUGGAUGGUUUGUUUGGAUUCUAUCAAAUUCUCGUGGUACUAAAAGAUGAAGAACUUACGACUUUCGCACCCCUAAAUAUAUAUACUGCUACAAGGUAAUGCAUUUUGGUUUGAAAAAUACUGAUGCUACAUAUCAAUGUGCCAUGCAAAAUAUUUUAGACGAAAUGCUUUAUAAAAAUGUGGAGUGUUAUGUUGACUAAUUGGUGGUAAAGUCAAGGAAGAGAGAUGAUCACUUACAAGAUUUGAGGAUGGUAUCCGAACGGCUUCAGAGAUACUAACUCAGAAUGAAUCCACUGAAGUGGGCCUUUGGAGUUACUUCUGAAAAGUUCCUCGGUUUUAUUAUUCGACAUCGAGGUAUCAAAAUUGAUCAAGCUAAGGCGGAUGCUAUCUUGAAGAUGACCGAACCUAAGGAUAAAAAUCUUACAUGGUAAGUUGGCAUAUUUUAGAAGAUUUACUUGGAAUCUAGCUGGAAGAUGCCAAACUUUUAGCUGCCUUAUGAAAAGAAGGGGUUCCUUGAUCAAGCUUGUAGAUAUGAUUUUGAAAGCAUCAAGUCCUAUCUGAUGAAGACACCACCAUUGGCGACUCCCAUACCUAGAAAACCAUUAAUAUUAUACAUUUCAGCACAAGAAAGGUCAGUAGGAGCACUUUUGGCUCAAAGAAACAAUGAAGGCAAAGAAAAUGAACUUUUAUUACUUGAGUAGGAUGACGACACCAAAUGAGCUCAAGUAUUCACUAUCAAGAAGUUAUGUUUGGAGCUUGUCUUCUUUUUUCAUAAGUUGAUGCAUACUUUCAAACUAACAUUUUGCGACUCAUCUCAAGAGCAAAUCCUAUCAGGUUUUUAAUGUCUAAACCUAUCCGAAGUGAUCGAUUAGAAAGGUGGUACCUCCAAUUUGAACAAUCUGAAAUUGUGUAUGUUCCUCAUAAGGUAGUAAAAGGACAAGUACUAGCAAAUUCAUAGGUAACCAUCUGAUUCCAGAUGAUUGGGAGUUGACUGAUGAAUUUCCUAAUGAAGAUGUAAUGGUCAUCGAAAUUCAACCUCCUUGGAAGAUUUAUUUUGAUGGCGCUACACAUCAUGAAUGAGUUGGAGUUGGAAUAGUUUUAACCAUAUUCUUUCACUCUGACACAACAUUUCUCCUAAUGUUGUUUUAUAUUAAACAAUUGUAACUACAAGUUUUGUAGACUUCAAGUUAUUGAUCAAUCUAAUUUUGGGUAGCUAUGAGAUCAAGAAGCUAGAGUAGGUCCCAUAUAACAAAUAUGCCUAUGUGCGGUGAAAACCGGAGAACUAAUCCCCCCCAAAGUGAUAUUUCAGAGAAUGGCCCUGGAAGCACGGGAUCUCGAGUCGAUCGCCUCCCUCAAAACCCGCCGAUGCCUUGCCAAGAAUGAACAUAUUCUAAAAACCUGACAAAUGCGAGAAUCCCUCGAAGAGUGCAUCCGAAGUCGAUCAGAUCUAGUCAAGCAGUUCGGUGCUAGCCCUCACUUGAUGUGAAUCUAAUGGACUGUCACAUCCCGUCUCUUUUUGUCAUGUCAAAAGAUUUUAUACUAAGUUUGGGUAUCCCCUUUUCUAUAAAAAGGGGGUCACUAGCACCUUGUAUGCUAGAGCUCCACUUGACCACGAAAAGAAAUAAUGUCUUCUCUCUCUUUCUAAUUUGUUCAUUCUCCUUAGUUCGAAGUAAUUUACGUUCAAUCCUCCUUUUUAUCAUUUGGAAUUGGCUCAAAGCCACCCUUAUAUCCCGUGUGUUAACCUACUCUUUAUUAUAUAACUCAAUACUGGCCGUAAGAAGCCUUACUUAAUCAACUUUCUUCUUGUUAUCCAUUCCCGACUGUCCCCGAUAUCUCGAUAUCAACUCUAUUAUCGACCCCGAGGCCUUCAUCGAUCCGCUCCAUGCUCAGGCAACGGGCCCCUUCGGUUUGCUUACUGCCUCUAUUUAACUCGUAUUUUAUCAUUAUACUGCAUAGUCUUAAUACAAACUGCCCUAAAAACUAGCUCGAGAAUAGAUUACGUAUUUUUAGAAUCCUGUUUAUAAAUUUAAUUGUUGUUUCCAUUUUUACGAUAAACAGUUUGGCACCCACUGUGGGGCUUAAAAUAAUAGUGAUUAUUUUCUUGCUAGUUCUAUCACACAAACAUGCAUUAUCUUUUCACACUUUUCUUGUCCAAGAUCCUUCUUAUUUUAGGCUAAAAUAUCCAACUCGAUAAACAGAGCCGAAAAUAACAACCUCGAAAACCACGGGGAGAAUGGCGUGGCUGUACCGCCCGCUAGAGCACCUCUACCGAAUCCUGAUAUCACCCCCGGACCGAUCCAAGCGGACGCAGAUUCUGAGGUCGCACAACCAGUCAAUGAAACCUCUCAUACUAAUAUGAGCGUAAGACACGUCGACCAACAGGAAGCACAAAAAAAUCCGGCCCAGGAAGAAUAAGAAGUUAGUCUUCACGUUAUGUUCGAGAUGUUGCAGGCACAACAAUUAACCAUCGCUCAGCUACAAAGCCACCCAAGGACCGCCAGCACAGCGGCACUAGAGACGGCUCCCCCCGUCGAGCAAAUACUAGAAAUGUCAAGCAACAACGGAUCAGUAGCCGAUCCCUCCAUUGUCAAAAUGCUCGAGGACCUCACCUAAAGAAUCAAUUUAGGAGAGAAAAUGAUUGCAGCCAAUGAUAAACAUGUCGAGACCUACAACUCCAGGGUCGAUCAAGUCCUAGGUGCGCCCCUAGUCCUCAAAGGCUUGGAUUUAAAGUUCAUUCAAAGGCCGUUCCCCGAGGAAGCGGCCCCAACACCCAUCCUGAAAAAGUUUCCCGAAACUCCCUAAGUACAAUGACACCUCCGACCCUAAUGAACACGUCACUACUUAAACCCGUGCAGUAAAAGGCAACGUCAUAAAAAACAACGAGAUCGAGUCUGUAUUAUUGAAAAAAUUUGGAGAAACACUUUUAAAUGAGGCCAUGAUGUGGUACCACAACUUGGUUCCCAACUCCAUAGAUUCACUUGCCAUGCUGGAAGACUCCUUCGUAAAAGCACAUGCCAAAGCCAUCAAGGUAGCAACAAGGAAAUCCGACAUUUUCGAAAUCAACAGAAUCGGGCUUGAUCGAAACAUGGCACCGAUGAACGCACCCCACUUGUCGGAAUACAACUUCAGUGUCGAUGUAUUUGUGUUUGUAAUCAGCAAAAUCAGGGAUGCCAAGUGGCUUAGACCAAUAGAGUCGGACCCGUCACAGAGGAAUUACAACUUAGUGUGACGGUUCCACAAUACACACGGUCACAGAACCGAGGAUUGCCAUUGAAUGCGAGAAGAAGUGGCCCAACUAAUCAACAAAGGGAACAUUCAGGAAUUACUUAGUGAUCGAGCCAAAAAUCAUUUCCGGGAAAGGGAGGAGACCAAGAAAAAUUAGGCAAACGAGCCAUAACACGUCAUCCGAAUCAUCAUGGGAGGCACCGCCACCCUGUAGGAGCCCAUGAUAAGGAAAAAAAAUAUUCAUCACCAGGGAAAAACAUACUCGAGGAUAUAUCCCCGAAGACGCCCUCACAUUCAGUGAAGAAGACAUCGAGACUCUAUCUCAACCCCACAACGAUGCCCUGGUAAUCUCUUUCCUUGUAAAUUCUUUUCAGAUAAAAUAUGUACUAGUAAACCUAGGUAGCUCGGCCAAUAUUAUUAGGUCAAGAAUGGUAGAACAACUCGGGCUAACUGCACAGAUCGUCCUGCCACUCGAGUCCUUAAUGUUUCAAUAUGGCAAGCGAGACAAUGAAAGGGGAAAUCAUCCUUCCAAUUACCGCGGCCGGCACAACCCAAGACACUAAAUACCAUGUAAUCGAAGAAGAUAUGAGAUAUAAAGACUUGUUUGGGUGACUAUGGAUACACUGUAUGAGAGCAGUACCAUCUACUCUCCAUCAGAUGAUAAAAUUCCCAACAAAGGACAGGAUAAAAACUGUCUGUGGGGAGAAACAUGUGACAAGAUAAAUGUUUUCCAUACACGAUGUGCUGGAGGCGCCCGUGCCUAUGCUCCUAAAAGAACCAAUGGGUGAAUAAUACAUCGGCCCCGGUUAGGUUUGACAAAAGUGAAAUCUUCAUCACGUGUCCACCCUCGGGAAGAUAUAAUUAGCCGACCCCGAGGCACCGUCGUCCUGCCUCACUUUAAGGUACGUCCAUUUCUUUUAUUUUAUUUAAGAAUAAGAACAAUCCCCCAUGCAGGCACCCGAGAGAUCGGGAGACUAAUACUAUUAGAGGAAAUCGAGACCCCAAUAGCACACUUGUUGGACUCUUUUCCUUCGACCGAAUUUUUUUAUCCCAGCAAAAGGAAAGGGUUUUUACCGACAAAGCUUUUAAUGAGGCAAAAACGACAAAACUUCUUAAAGGGGAAAACUCCAUAGGGUUGAUCAAAUCCACCCUAACAGCCAACUUACGAGCAGCGAGAGGCAUUCCCCUUGGGAGCCCCCCAAUCCAAAGGAAAUGGAUAAAUGCCAAAGCAAAGGUUCCUACGAGAAGACAACUAGGGCCAAACGAUCAAUAUAAACAAAACUCGCCGGAGCGGAUGCAUGUACUAUUUUCGUGUAAUCAAUCAAAAACUAUCCAUUUUUUCUCCUGAGAAAGAAAAGUAAGGCUCCCUCUAGAAGUAAAAAAAAUCAUCAACGCAACCAUAUUCGACGAAAAAUAAGCCGAUCCAGCACAAAUAGCACGCAUACUAUGCUGAUGAAUCAGAGAAUAUCAUCCAGAAUCUCAUUUCCCAAAAAGCGGUAUUCAAGGUUAAACAGAUUCGAUAUACUCAUAGACAUAAACGGUUCAGCAACCCUACGACCCCAGGGUUGGCACUCCUGGCUCACAAAGCCCUCGCAAUACAACUCCAAGUUUAGAGAAGGUGGGAUUCAAGCCUAAACUGAUCGGAUAUACUCAAACACUCAAUGUAAGAAAUACUAAAUAAAUUGAAUAAAACCAUGGACAGAGCUCCAGGCUCAUCAAGCCCCUGGAAGGCAACUCCGAGCUCACGAGAAGCUGUCUUCAAGCUUAUACAAACUCGACUACUCAGAGACUGCUAUCAAUCGCCAUACAAUUGGAAAAUCCAAAACUGUAAGACCCUAACGGGAAGCCUCAUCAUAAACAGAUAUAUUCUACAAACUGUAAGACCUCAGCAGGCAUGACAAAAUGUAAGACCUCAACAGGCAUGACAAACUAUAAGACCUCAACAGGAAUGACAAACUUUAAGACCUCAACAGGUAUGAUAAAACUAUAAGACCUCAACAAAACUAAAAAUCUUGAUAUUUAGGCUACACAUCAAAUUUAAAAGAAUACCUAAAGGGAAUACCCUCGACGUUGAUGCCUAAACUAUCACUAAGGGAUCAAAAUUGGCUACAGCCAAACACAUAUGACUACGGUUGAAACGACUGAUACAACCCAAAUAACGCGACUUAGGGAUGCCCGACUGUUGCUAAAAAAUCGUAGGCCAUUACUCCGAUAUACUUCAAAACGAACCGGCUAAAACAAGCUUCCCUCCAUAGGCAAAAAUGAGGCCUGACAAUGUCAGCUCCGAAAAUGCAAAAGUGUUGAUCUACUCGACCUAUGAGCUAUGAACCUUAUGUGGUACUCAAAUCAUCGCUGAUAACGACUUAAAAUCGAGGUUCCUCAAGAAUUGAUGACGGGGCAUGCAAAAUACUACAAAAAGACCUUAGUUAUUGGAUACAAAGACCACGGGCAAUAAAAUAACGUAAGAGCCAUUAUCGCCAGCUAAGAAAGCCUACGGGCCACAUACUGAAAGGUCUCUACAACCAAACAACGCAAGAGCAAUUGUCUCCAACUAAAAAUCUUGACAACAUGAGGAUUAAAAUGAGCUCAAAUGGAAUAAGUGCCAUCGUUGCCAGAAAUUCAAUAAACUUGAAGGGUCAAUCAAAGUUCAAAUCGCAAUGCGAUUCGGAGACGGGACCUAAAUAUUGCAAUACGCCUACGAGCGCAGCAUAACUGCUAAUGUCGCUAGACUCGCAAUGAGAUUUAAGGUCGAUUACAGCUUGGAUCACAACUCGACUUGGAGACUGGACCUAGAAAUUUCGAGACAGCCAAGGGCGAGGAAUCAAAGCCACCAACGUCAGCCAAGGAAUCGAAGGAACUUUAGGGUUGAUUAUAGCACAAGUCGCAAUGUGACUCAGAGACUGGGCCCAAGAUAGUUAAAACACAGUGUGCCCGCAAGGUCAAAUUCAACUAAGAGCAAGAAGGGCCAUCAUCGUCCGCCCAUACAGGAAGGGAAGAGCUUGAAGAUUAAUUGAAGCUCAAGGUCACCGUACAACUCAGAAACAAGACCCAAAAUAAUUGAAUUGCAGGAUGCUUAAGGGCACGACUCUCAGGAAACCUUCAUCUAUGGAUUAAAUUUCCAGGUCACGUAUCAAGCGGGUCACUUCGACCCGAAGCAUAAAAAGCCACCAACAUUUGCCCAUGCGGCUGGGAUAAAUACCGAAGAUCAACUGCAACACGGGUCACUAUAUGACUAGACCUCAAAGACAGCUAGUAACGACAAAAUGCCCAAAGAGAGAAGAUGAAAACAACAACUAACUGCCCGCAGGGGCACAAAGAAAUCAAGGAACAGGAAAAGCCAAAGUUAAAGCACAACUCGGAGGCCAAGCCGAAGCAGCCCGGCCAAAUGCGAAAGUAUGGAAACUCAUUCAUAUCAAAAAUUGCGCCUAAGAACCUUCGACCAACUCCGAGCCUACAAGGAUCCCACCUGAUACCAAAAUCGGCCCGCCUGGUGAGAACAAAGAACAAAGGAAAAGGUACCAAAAUUACAAAAUUACAAAUUCCUUCUUACAUAUUGCGUGCGCAAAAAAGGGGCACACUCUCCAUCUACAGGCAUACUCCGCGAGCAUCAGAAACAAAGUGACAAAAUGGCAAAAUCAAAAGUCCACACCAAACAAAGCCACAUCUUGCAAAACUUUAUUAUAGUCCACAAGAAAUAAUCAAGUGCCACGGUUAUUCUCUUUGCUCAAUCUUAUUCCUCUAGGACAGCGAAAUCCCGUGCCAACACACUCGAGUACACGUCUUCAUAUCUACGAUAGACACAUUCCUCGACUCCCUGCCCUCGGUCCAAGGCUCACUCCAAUCUAGCAUGGAUGUCAGCGGCACUCCUCUUGCGAAUUAACAGCUACCGACCCACCUUGAUUCAGCUUAAUGUCACUUCAGCCCAAGUCUCAUAAUUAUCUCGACCCUAAACAUCAAAAUCUAGGGUUUUCCAGUAAUACCCGACCGAUCUUUAACGCUGAAACAACGGGAGUCGGGUCUCAAGGGACAAAGACCUUAUCCGAGGCAUCCGCCCCUCCAAAGCAUAAGUCUACACUUGAGCUCUUAGCUCCCCGCGAACCACUGUGGCGAAAUCAACAUCGCCCUUAAGGUAGUAAAAAAAACCUCCAUUCUUUUUCUGCAGUUGAUAUAAACGGAAGGUGGGGAGGCUUAUAAAAGGGGCGAAGCACACAUUGCAUAAGGCCACCUACUCCAUAAAAUAGAUCCUAUAUUUUAGUCCCAUCGCCGGUUAUAAAGAGCCCCAGAGGCACCCAGCUUAGUCAAUGCAUUCUCUUCAGAAGUGUAACGUGGCCUCGCCUUGAUAAAAGGCUCCGACAUACCACAUAUCUCAUUAUCAAUACCGCCGCCUGAAGAUCUACAGCCCCAAGAGGAGGCGCAUAUGUACCCCUAUGGGACCAUCCGACAGCAAAAAUGCCCUCAACAGAGAAAGUAAAGAACAAUUGCCGAAUUCACCAUUAUCGCUGAUAGAACCAGCGAAGCACAAGGCACGCAGCCCAAAGGACAUCCAUUCGUCCCUAUAAACAUCUGCCGAGGGUAUCAAUGGCACAACGCUAAUUCCUGGAAGUAACAACUUGCAUGGGCCCGAUCUCCACAUUCACCAAAAUAUGUAGUCGUUAAAGGUAGAUCCCGACGACCCCCAAGGAUGCAAAAGCAAUCAAGGACACCGGCCAUCAGUGUCGUAUCCUGCGCCGAUGUAAUAGCCAACCUCGGAAGUCCUCAUCACGGUAAAGAAAAGCUUCUAAAGGCCAGCAACGCCUUCACCAAAAAAAAGUCGGCACACAAAGGCCUCCACCAAAGAAAGACGGCCAGUAGAUGCAGUUGCUUCCUAACAAAUGCUCGUAAGAAACAUCCCCCGGAUAUUGGUCGAGAUGAUCCUAUCGCAGGCGAAUCUCAUCCCUGAGGCUGCAUUCGGCAAGCCACAAGUAGCCCUAAACAUGCCACCCCUUGGUCGCGCCUCCUCUAGAGGGUCAUCACAAAGUUCAAAGACAUCGCCCUCGCCUUUAUGAUAAUGACCCGACAUCCUAGUGUUACUGUUCUCAUUUUUGGCCGGGACACAAGAAACCCUACGUAGAGCCAUUCUAUCUAUCAAAAAGCUCCACAAAGGUACUAAGUGAGCGACCAAGCACAAACAAAGGUCAAUCCUAUACAUUAUGGAUAGGGGAUGUCUACAUCAAAGACUAACAGGGAUCCCGGAUACUCGAAAGCAAUUUUCAUCCAAGAUAAUAUCCCUAAAGGUCCCGGAAUUGAACGCAUGAUAUCCGAGUAUCUUCGGGGGGAGGGGAAUAGCCCAUACCUAUUAGAGCAAAUACUCGCACCCGAGUAAGAUGUCGAUAGUAUGGGAGUAAAAGGAAGCAUUCAAAGAUCCUCAGAGGGCAUGAGAACAUUCAAAAAAAAAAAUCAAAGUAAGGAAAGUAGAAUUCUGAAGGAGUUUAUUAAAAUUCAUAGGAGAUACAUGAACAACAACCCUAAAGGGGUCCUUGCACAUGAUUAUAAAGGCCUGCAAGGGGGACAUUACACGUAAGAAAAAUUUGAAGAUAUGCAUUCAUCGAAAACCUAAGGGUCUAGCCUACUUUUCUGCGACAUCUUUGUCGUCAUCCCUUCCGGUGCAUGACCUAAAAGACAAUAUCAUCCAAGUCCAAGGCCCUCGGGGACCCCGCUUAGAUUACUUAGAAUGGCAUCAUCUAAAGGGAGAGAAGUGGGGGAAGGAAAAAAGGAAGUGGCUCGGUGAAAAUUCAGGCUGUAGAGAAACCCGCCGAUAUUAAUACCGCUAGACCACUUAUUGAGACGUUGCCCUGGCUCAGAAGGCAACUGCAGUAGGAAGUACCACCGCAUCCCUCAGGAUUCAAAAAUGGGUACAAUGCGCCGAGCUGAGGGAAGAGGGUGAGCAACGGUGUAUAAUCUGAGCUCCCACUUGAGCAACGGUGCAUAAUCCAAAAAGAGAAGCAGUAGUAACAGCAACAACAACAAUAUCAUGGCUGUACGAGUUCGUCCAAUAAGAAAAGAGAUCAAAGAAAGGGUCAUGGCACAUAUAACGUAAAAUCUUAAAGCCUGGGGCCUCGAACACAGCGAGAUGAUGGAACUUCAAUGAAGUAGAGCAGGAACGAGAGAUAGGUAUCAAAGAAAGUGAGAGUAAGAAAGGUAACCAAAAAUAGCCCAAUUUAUAGGGGGAGCAAGGAAACCGACGACUCCAUUACCAUCCUCAAAAAAUGUAAUGGCAGGCACAAUCAAUGAACAUGUACUAAAAACCCCGUCGAUGCCUUUCCAAGAAUGAACAUGUACUAAAGACCCGACGAAUGCGAGAAUCCCUCGAAGAGUGCGCUCGGAGUUGAUAAGAUCUAUUCAAGUAGUUUGGUGCCAGCCCUCACUAGACGUGAAGCUAACGGACUGUGACAUCCCGUCACUUUUUUUCAUGCCAAAAAAUUCUAUACUAAGUUUGGGCAUCCCCUUUUCUACAAAAAGGGAAUCACUAGCACCUUGUAAGCCAGAGCUCCACUUGACCACGAAAAACAAUAAUAUCUUCUCUCCAUCUUUCUAGUUUGUUCAUUCUCUUUAGUUUGAAGUCAUUUAUGUUCAAUUGUCCUUUUUAUCAUUUAGAAUUUGCUCAAAGCCACACUUAUAUCCAUGUCUCUUAAACUACUCUUCAUUAUAUAGCUCAAUAUUGGCCGUAAGAAGCCUUACUUAAUCGAAUUUCUACUUCUUAUCCCUUCCCCAAUUGUCCUCGAUAUCUCGAUAUCGACUCAAGACUCGGACAUAAGGCCUCCAUCAAUCCACUCCGUGCUUGGGCAAUGGGCCCCUUUGGUUUGCGUACUGCCCCGAUUUAAUUUGUAUUUUAUUGUUUUACUACAUAGUCUUAAUACAAACUACCCUGAAAACUAGAUCGAGAAUAGAUCACGUAUUUUUAGAAUCCCAUUUGAAAAUUUAAUUAUUGUUACCAUUUUCACGGUAAAAAAUUUCCAAAGACUAGUAAGGUGGCUUGGAGAGGUAACUAUUUAACACGUGACGAGAAAGGAAAAUAAGAGAGCUGAUGAACUAGAAGCCUUAACUUUUGUAUUAUCUUUUACUGAUUAAAAGCAAAUCAUUGUUUGCCAAAGAUGAGUCUUUCCUCUAUCAAAUGACUACAAAGAAUAAUAAAGCAAAGUUGAGCAUCUUGCUACCAUUCUUGAGGUCGAAAUUGAAGAUUGGCAACAACCAUCAAUCGAUUAUCUUUGUUAUGAGAUAUUGCCGGAAAAUCCCCCAAGAAAGGAAUCAAUUGAAAAGAGAUCCCUCGCUUUAUUUAUUACAAAUAUAAAUUCUAUAAACGAUCAUUUGAUGGAGUGCUCGUACGUUGUCUGGGGUGCUGAUGAGCCUUUUCAAGCCCUGUAAGAAGCACAUAUUGGAGUAUGUGGCGUGCAAUAUUAUCUAUCAUUUUGAAUUUCCUUGAUAUAUAUAUUAACGGACAAUGGUAAGCCAUUGAUAACAAGUUGUUGAAUAAAAUAUGUGAUCUCUUUGCUUCAAGAAACGAAAUUUCUCUAUGUAUUAAGCCACUGCCAAUGGACUUCCUGAAGCAUUUAACAAGACGAUCUGCAACUUGUUGAAAAAAGGUUGUCUUGAAGUCUAAGAGAGAUUGGAAUGAGUUAGUAGAAGAAGAUCCUUGGGCAUACAGGACCACAUAUCACACACCAAUACAAGAGACCCCUUAUCCACUUGUUUAUGGUGUUGAAGCAAUCCUUCCACUUUAGCGUCAAAUUCCAUCGUUGCGGCUUGUCAUUAAAGAAGGACUCACUAAUGAAGAAAAUGACUGGUUAUGCCUUGACGAAGUGGAACCUCUUGAUUAAAAGAGGCUAGAAGCUCAAAAAACCUUUAAAAUUAUCAAGCUCGCCUAUCUCAAUCAUUUGACAAAAGGGUGUGCCUUAGAUCUUUCCAAGUGGGUGACCAAGUUAUUGUGGCAAAAAGGCCUAUUAUUACAUCAUUCAAUCUAGAGAAAUAUACUCAAGUGGCAUAUAAAAGAUCGUUGACUCAUAAGGUUUGCGGAUUGGCCCCAUCAAUGGGAAAUUCAUGAAGAGAUACUAUUUGUGAAGAAAACAAAUAUGCUCUUUAACGCACGAGCAUAAACUACAUGUUACUCCUGGCCCGCAAGAGUAUAGACUGUGCACAGUCCAAAAUAAAAGGUCUACUAGGUUGAAAACAUCAAAAGAGCUGGCCUAAACAAAAGUUAGGACACUUAAAAUAAAAACUCACCAAUUUCGAACUACGAUAUGACUUGAUCCUCUUCAUCGAGGUACAUAGGUAGCUUAGAGUUUCACUCUAUGUUCAGUCAUAUGAGUUCAAAUAUACAUAUUACCUAAGGAAAUAUUUGAAUGAAGUAUGAUGAAAUAUAAUUCAUUGAUUGACACUUGAAAAUUAGGUGUACAUGUAUUCUUUUGCUGAACUCUCUGUCUUAUCAGAUAUUGAUGGCUCAAUGUGGGCAAGCCCUCCAUGUCAAAUUGAGGUGUCUGAUGGAAUGAUUGUUGUCUUUUUGUAAGAGACAAAAUAUUUAAUUUGAAGUCUCCAAUUCUAUGUCAAGUUGAUUUUGGCAAGUCUUUUGCGUCACCAAUUUGAUGUAUUCAAGCCUGUUAGAUCUUAAAGUUGCACUCUUCAAGUCCGUUAAGUCUUCAAAUCCAUAAAGUAGCUCACUUAUUAUGAAUCACAUAAUGACUUGAUCCUCUUCACCGAGCUACGUAGGCAUCUUAGAGUUUAUUCUAAGUUCAGUCACCUUAAUAAAAAGAAAAGUGAGGUUUCUUUAUAAUACGUGGCUACCAAGUCCUAAUCAUGGAAGCACAUAAAUUUAAAGGAAAGUAAGAGCAAAAGGGAACAUUAAUGUGAAUGUGCAAUAUAAGGUGAAAUGAAAUAAGUUUUAUUGUUGAUGAGAACAUAUACUAAUCAAUCAAAUGUGAAAUGAAAGAGAAAAACAAAUAAAUGGUGUUUAUAGCCUAAUAUAAACACAACUUUUAGUUGGAAAAAUCCUUAAGCAUAAAUUCUAAAUAUUCCUUCCUCUCCAAAUCGGCCAAGUCAUCAUCAAUCAACAAGGCAACAUUGCAGUAUACGUCGUAAACCUUUCUAUUUAUUGAUCGUCCUAACUUGACUUCUUUAACUUCUUUUUCAACAAUUUCUAAAAGGGCUUCUAAGUUAUUCUCUUUUUCAUUAAGAUUCUCUAUCUUCUCUUUCACUAAAACUAGGUACUAACAGAUAGAUGACACUUCUUUAUCAUUCUUUUCUUCAUCAAUCAUGGAAUUUGUAUGGUGCACCUCAACUUUUGAUAUUGCAGUCUUCUCAACCUUUUCGGAUAAAGCAGAUCGUGUCGUGUCGUAUGAAUCAACAAUCUCAAAAAGGGACUUGAGUAAGUUUCUCCAAGGGGAAUAUCCACAUUAUCCCUAUCCAUUGCCUCAUAGAUAAUUAACUGUUCUCUUUCAAGCUCAGAGACCUUGUCUGCAUCACAAUCUUUCAGCUUACGCUCUGGAUCAAAGUCCAAAGCUUCAAGAUGAACUCCUUUCUAAUUUCCAAUACAACAUUCUAUCCAUCAAAAAAUAGAUGCUACAACUAUUGAUUGUUCAUGAAAAUCAUAGCCCAACUUUUCCCUAAUUCCAUCAUGAGAAACAGAAAUUGCCUCUUGAUAUGCCUUAGAUGUAGAAGAUGAUAUAUGCGAGUCCGAUCUUAGUAUAGCUUCCGCAGAAGCGGAUCCGCUCAUGCAAACGGUAACUGCAGAAGCGAAAAUUGGGAAUGUUAAUAAAACUGCAGAAACGACUCGUGGUUCGCAUGUGCGGGACCGCAGAAGUGGAAAGCAUUGUUAUGAAAAAGGGAACUCCGAGCUUUUAUUUCAAAAGUUAGAGAAAUCAAAAUUUAGCUCGAGAGAAGGCGAGUUUGGGUGGAUUUCGAAGGCAAGAUCAGUGGGUAAUGUUUCCUUAACCUCAUUUAGUUUUCUUUCGUUCAAUAUCUAUUUAAAUCCAUCAUUAGAAUUCGAAUUCAAGGUCAAAUUUGGGGAAAUUGGAUGAAACUUCUUUGACUUAAUUAUUGUAUUUUGAGUGGGCAUUUAACCUCCGAUUUAGGAUAUUUUUAUAUGGUUAGACUCGUGAGAGUACGAGGGUUCUGAAAAUGUGAAAGUUAUUUGAUUCUGAGUUGUUGGUCUGAGGGGCGUUUUCGUUGUUUUACCUAUUUUCACGCCUUACCUAUAAUUUUAAUAGUGGAAUUAGUUACUUGUGAUGUUAUUUACGUUAUGUAAUUGGAUUGAAUAGAUUUGGGCCAUUCGAAGUCGGAUACUCGUGGCAAAGGCAUUGUUCCUAGUUGAUUUUUGUACUGGUUCGAGGUAAGUGGCUUGUCUAAGUUUGCGUGGGAGACCUCUCCCCUUUGGAUGUAAUACUUGUUAGUUUAAAUGCCUUGUACGUGAGGUGACGAGCGUGUACAUGGGCGAAUUGUUGAAAAUCCGUUCUACUUAGAAUAUUUAAAUUGUGUUUUCCUGCGUAUUUGCCUAAUCUAUAUGCCAUUUAACCUGUGUUAGCUUAAGAAAAUCAUGUUUAGCUAACUUACUUGCUUAUUUUCCUAAACUAUAUUAUCUGUCCUCCGUGAAGCAUGCUAGACUAGAAAUUCUAUUAAUUUUUCUUACUUAUAAUGAUAUAAUAUUUGAAUUGUUGUGAUGUGUUUACAAUUUGGGACUAUGGGAUGGCAUCCCGGAAGUUUCCCCUACACGUGUUACAUUCUAAGACUGAGAGUGCGGGACACCAAGAGAUCCCUGCACAGAUAUGACUAUAAAAUAGAGGAUACCGAGAGAUCCUCGGGAUACUAAGAGAUACCUUGUGUAUAUAUGGAGGAUACCAGGAGAUCUUCGGGAUACUAGGAGAUCCCUCGUGUAUAUGAUGAGGAUACUAGGAGAUCCUCGGGAUACCAGAAGAUCCCCAAUGAUAAAUAUCCGGUACUGAUUUAUACUUCUAUUUAUUUACUGUGUUGGUUCUCGGUUACUGUCUUGUAUAUUAUCUUGCUAGAUUCUCAUAUUAGAUAAUAUCCAUGUUGUAUUUUCCUUAUCAUAUGAGAUUAUUAUGUUUUUAUCUCAGCAGGGACUCAACCUUCCUCGUCACUACCCGAUCGAGGUUAGCCUUGGCACUUACUGAGUACCGCUGUGGUAUACUCACGCCUCUUUUGCACAUGUUUUCCAUGUGAAGACCUAGGCACUUCUUCCCAUGCGUAUCAUCAUCGAAGCGGAAAGCACUAGUGGAGACUCGAGGUAUAUAUUCUACGUCCCCGGUCUCGAAGUCUCUAUUUCUUUCCAGCUGUAGCAUAUAGCCCCCUUUUAUUAUGUUUCUUUAGAUACUCUGGUGUAGAGCAUAUUAUGCUACUCUUUUAGACUAUGUUGCCCGUGAGAUUUCGGGUCUUUUUUUGUCUAGAACAACAAAAUCAAGAGGAGCAGAGCGAACAAAAUCCGCUUUGGGGUGAAUUCCCUCCCCUGAAGUUUGCGCUAAUUGAACCCUAGAUAGCUGACUGAAGACCAAAGCAAUCUCCUUUCUAGUCUAGUCGGGGAUGUUGGAUUGCGCUUUCUAUUUAAAGCAGUGUGCAUCCUUGCAUCAGAGGUCAGUUUCGGGGUGGGGAGCGACGAGAGACCAGGAUGGUUUCAGAAUUCUAAGUGUUAAAGUGUAUGUGCCAGGCGGCAACUUUAUACAUUUCUUAUGUUAUUUGGCGUUUAGUUAUUAAUUUCAUAAAGGUUGUAAAUUCCGCAAUGUUACAGGCUUACCUAGUGGGGAAGACUAGAUACUUGUCCUGACCCUAGUUCACCAAUAUCAUAAUCCUUUUGUAGCUCCAACCAUCUCCUCUAGCACAAGUUUAGAUUUUUAUGCUUGAACAAGUGCUGUAAACUCCGAUAAUCUGUGUAUAUCUCACAGGGCACGAUGUACAAAUAAUGCCGCCAGAUCUUCAAGGCAUGAACAAUAACAACUAACUCAAGGUCAUGGGCAGUGUAGUUCUUCUCAUUUAUCUUCAGCUGUCUGGACGCGUAGGCAACCACCCUAUUGUCCUGCAUCAACCCCGCUCCAAGUCCGACCCAUGAGGUAUCACAAUAAACUAUGUAGGACCCCGAACCAGUAGGCAUAUCAGAAUAGGAGGUGAAGUCAAAGCUGUCUUGAGAUUUUGAAAGCUCGCCUCUAACUCAUAUGUCCACUUAAAUGGAGCACCCUUCUAGAUCAAUCUAGUAUAACGGAUGUCAUACUCUGAAACGGUCAUAGCACCCUGGCGCAAAUGCUCAAACUCCACGUGCCAUGCGUCCCUGAGGCUCUGGGAAACAAACUCCCUCUAGAACAUAUCUAAAAACUGUGCCCAGGACAGAGAGAAGGGUUAUGCGGACAGGAAGGUUUGUGAUGUUUCCUUUAUGGUUGAUGAUCGGGCUCAUCUUCGGGUCUCUCCUAUGAAAGGUGUCUUGAGGUAUCGGAAAAAGGGAAGUUGAGUCUGAGGUUCAUUAGCCCUUUUGAGAUUUUGGAGCGAGUUGGGAAGGUUUAUUAUGAGCUUGCUUUACCUCUGAGUUUGGCCGGGGUUUAUCCGGUAUUUCAUGUCUUGAUGCUUCGGAGGUAUCACGGCGAUCCGUCUCAUGUUUUGUAGUUCACUUCAGUCCAAUUGGACAAGGAUCUGUCCUACGUUGAAGAGCCGGUGGCAAUAUUGCAUAGGCAGUUCCAAAAGCGCAGGUCAAGGAAUAUAGCUUCAGUAAAGGUUCAGUGGCGAGGUCAGCUGGCUAAGGAGGUGACUUGGGAGACCGAGCGGUAUAUACGCAGCCAAUACUCUCAUCUUUUCACUACUUCAGGUAUAUUCUCUAUGCUCGUUUGAGGACGAACAAAUAUUUAAGUGUAGGAGGAGGUAAUGACACUGCUGGUCAUUUUUGGAAUUUAUACUCUAUUCCGCUAUUAACUGCUUCCCCUAAGUUUGUUUCUGCAAUUUGGUUUGCUGGCGUUCGAUAUAGAACUCAGAGUGUUUUGGUACACUUAGUCCCUAAAUGAGAGCUCCAGUAUUAGAACGUGAAAUGUAAUCGGAACAGUGUAAAGACGACCUCGAAAUGGAAAUCUGAUGGUUCAGUUAGAUCCAUUAGGUGAUUUUAGGGUUAGGAGCGUGUUCGGAAGGUGUUUUAGAUGUCCGUAGCUCAUUUAGGCUAGAAAUGCAUAAAGUUAAAAUUUUGAAGUUUCCCGUCUGAUAGUGAAGUUUUGAAUCGAGGGUCGAAUUAGGAUUCCAAAAGUUUUUGUAGUACCGCCUUGUCAUUUGGGACGUGCGUGCAACAUUUCAGGUCAAUCGGAUGAGUGUUGUUUAGGUUUUUGAUUGAAAGCGUAUUUUGGAUGAACUUGAAGUUCUUAGGACUGAAUCUUUGAUUUAAUCGGGUUUGCGGUGUUGUUUUAUAAGUUUUAUGGAUUUAUGCAAGUUUGAAAAAGGUAUUAGACUGUAUUAGUUCUUUUGGUUGAGGUCCCGAGGGCUCAGGUGUGUUUCGAAUACUCAAAAGGUAAAUUUUGGAGUUAAAAGAAAAAUUUGCAGCAGGUUUUCUGGUAUUUCCGCUUCUGCGGCUUGGGAACCGCAGAAGCAGCUUUGGCUCCGCAAAAGUGAUUGGCGCAAACUCAUAAGGAACCGUAGUAGCGGUUGAUAUUCCGCAAAAGCGGAUCCGCUCAUGCGAGAUGGGAAUCGCAGAAGCAGAAAUUGGGAAGGUUAAUGAAACCGCAGAAGCGUUCCUUGUUCGCAGAAGCGGAAAUCACUGUUUUGAAAAGGGAAAUCCGAGGGUUUAUUUCAAACGUUAGAUAAAUAAAAAUUUAGCUCGGGUGAAGGCGAUUUUGGGUGGAUUAUGAAAGGAAAAUCAGUGGGUAAUGUUUUCUUAACCUCAUUUAGUUGUUUUCUAUCAAUAUCUAGUUAAAUCCACCAUUAAAAUCCGAAUUCAAUGUCAAAAUUGGGGAAAAUUGGAUGAAACUUCUUAGACGUAAUUAUUCUAUUUUGAGAGGGAAUUUGACCUUCUAUUUAGGAGAUUUUUAUAUGGUUAGACUCGUGAGAGUACGAGGGUACUGAAAGUGUGAAAAUUAUUAGAUUCCGAGCCGUUGGCCUGAGGGGUAUUUUAGUUAUUUUACCUAUUUUCACGCCUUAGUAGUAACUUUAAUAGUGGAAUUAGUUACUUUUGAUGUUUUUACGUUAUGUAAUUGGAUUGAAUAGAUUUGGGCCAUUCAGAGUCGGAUACUCGUGGGAAAGGCAUUGUUCGUAGUUGAUUUUGGUACCGGUUCGAGGUAAGUGGCUUGUCUAACUUUGCGUGGGGGACCUCUCCCCUUAGGAUAUAUUACUUGUUAUUUUAAAUUCCUUGUACGUGAGGUGACGAGCGUGUACUUGGGCUAAUUGUUUAAAAUCCGUUCCACUUAGAAUAUUUAAGUUGUUUUUUCUUGCGUAUUUGCCUAAUCUAAAUGCCAUUUAACUGUGUUAGCUUAAGAAAAGCAUGUUUAGCUGACUUACUUUCUUAUUUGCCUAAACUGUACUAUCUAGCCUCCGUGAAGCAUACUAGACUACAAAUUCUAUUAAUUGUCCUUAGUAGCAUUAUAUAAUAUUUGAAUUGUUGUGGUGUGUUUACAAUUUGGGACUACGGGAUGGCAUCCCAAAAGUUUCCCCAGCACGUGUUACAUUCUAAGACUGAGAGUGUGGGAUACCAAGAGAUCCCUGGCACAGAUAUGACUAUUAAAUAGAGGAUACCGAGAGAUACUCGGGAUACUAAGAGAUCCCUUGUGUAUAAAUGGAGGAUACCAGGAGAUACUCGGGAUACUAGGAGAUCCUUCGUGUAUAUGAUGAGGAUACCAGGAGAUCCUCGAGAUACCAGGAGAUCCCCAAUGAUAAAUAUCCGGUGGUGAUUUGUACUUCUAUUUAUUUACUAUGUUGGUUCUCGGUUACUGUUUUAUUUAUUAUCUUGCUCGAUUCUCAUAGUAGAUUAUAUCCAUGUUGUCUUUUCCUUAUCAUAUCAAUUAUUAUGUUUUUAUCUCAGCAGGGCCUCGACCUUCCUCGUCACUACCUGAUCGACGUUAGCCUUGGCACUUAUUGAGUACCACUGUGGUGUACUCACGCCUCUUUUGCGCAUGUUUUCCAUAUGCAGACCCAGGUACUUCUUCCCAGGCGGAUCAUCCUUGCAGCGGAGAGCAUUAGUGGAGAUUCGAGUUAUAUCUUCUAUGUCCACAGUCCCAAAGUCUCUAUUUCUUUCCAGCUGUAGCAGAUUGCCCCCUUUUUCCUUCUAUUAUGUUUCUUUAGAUACUCUGGUGUAGAGCGUGUUAUGCUACUCUUUUAGUCUGAGUUCCCCGUAAGGUUUCGGGUCUUUGGGAUGGUUUCAGAAUUCUAAGUGUUAAAGUGUAUGUGCCAGGCGGCAACUUUAUACAUUUCUUAUGUUAUUUAGCUUUUAGUUAUUGUGUUUCGUAAAGGUAGUAAAUUCUGCAAUAUGAUAGGCUUACCUAGUCGUGAAUACUAGAUACUUGUCCCGAGCCUAGUUCACCAAUAUCAUAAUCCUUCAGUAGCUCCAACCAUCUCCUCCGGCGCAAGUUCAAAUUUUUCUGCUUGAACAAGUGCUAUAAACUCCGAUGAUUUAAGUAUAUCUCACAGGGUACGAUGUACAAAUAAUGCCGCCAGAUCUUCAAGGCAUGAACAAUGACAACUAACUCAAGGUCAUGGACAACGUAGUUCUUCUCAUGUAUCUUCAGCUGUCUGGACGCGUAGGCAACCACCCUAUUCUCCUGCAUCAACACCGCCCCAAGUCCGACCCUUUAGGUAUCACAAUAAACUAUAUAGGACCCUGAACCAAUAGGCAGUAUCAGAAUAGGAGGUGAAGUCAAAGCUGUCUUGAGAUUUUGAAAGCUUGCGUCGCACUCAUCUGUCCACUGAGAUGGAGCACCCUUCUAGAUCAAUCUAGUAUAACGGAUGUCGUACUCUGAUAAGGUCAUAGCACCCUAGCGCAAAUGCUCAAACUCCGCGGGCCAUGCGUCCCUGAGGCUCUGAAGAACAAACUCCCUCUGAAACAUAUUUGAAAACUGUGCCCACGUCAGAGAGAAGAGUUACGUGGAGCGAAAGGUUUGUGAUUUUUCCUUUAUGGUUGAUGAUCGUGUUCGGCUUCGGGUCUUGCUUAUGAAAGGUGUCUUGAGGUUUGGGAAAAAGUGAAGUUAAGUUCGAGGUUCGUUGGCCCUUUUGAGAUUUUGAAGCGAGUUAGGGAGGUUACUUAUGAGCUUUCUUUACCUCUGAGUUUGACCGGGGUUCAUCCGGUAUUUCAUGUCCUGAUGCUUCGGAUGUAUCACGGUGAUCCGUCUCAUGUUUUGGAGUUCACUUCAAUCCAAUUGGACAAGGAUCUGUCUUACAUUAAAGAGGCAGUGGCAAUAUUGCAUAGGCAGGUCCGAAAGCUCAAGUCAAAGGAUAUAGCUUCAGUAAUGGUUCAGUAGCGAGGUCAGCUUGCCAAGGAGGCGACUUGGGAGACCGAGCGGGAUAUGCGUAGCCGAUACCCUCAUCGUUUCACUAAUUCAGGUAUGCUUUCUAUGGUCGUUCGAGGAUGGACAGAUGUUUACGUGAAGGAGGAUGUAAUGACCCGGCCAGUUAUUUUUGGAAUUUAUACCAUGUUCCCCUAUUAACUUUUUCUCCUAAGUUUGCUUCGGCUAUUUUGGUUUGCUGGGAGGUUCGGUAUUAGAACUCGGAGUAUUUUGGUACACUUAGUCCCUAAAUGAGAGCUCCGGUAUUAGAAAGUGGUCUAUAAUUAGAAUAGUGUCAAGACGACCUCAGAACGGAAAUCCGAUGACUUUGUUAGCUCCGUUAGGUUAUUUUAGGGUUAGGAGCAUGUUCGGAAGGUGUUUUGGAUGCCCGUAGCUCAUUUAGUCUAGAGAUGCCGAAAGUUAAAAUUUUGAAGUUUCAUGUCUGAUAGUGAAGUUUUGAUUCGAGGGUUGGAGCAUAACUCCAAAAGUUGUCGUAGUACCGUCUUGUCAUUUGGGACGUGCGUGCAACAUUUCAGGUCAACGGACGAGUAUUGGCUAGGUUUUUGAGUGAAAGCAUAUUUUGGAUGAACUUGAUGUUCUUAGGAUUGAAUCUUUGAUUUAAUCGGGUUUAUGGUGUUGUUUUUGAAGUUUAAUGGAUUUAUGAAGAUUUGAAUAACGUAUUAGAUGGUAUUAGUGCUUUUGGUUGAGGUCCUGAGGGCCUCGGGUGUGUUUCGGAUGCUCAAAAGGUAAAUUUUGGAGUUAGAAGAAAACUUUGCAGCAGGUUUUCUUGUAUUUUCGCUUCUGCGUCUUGGGAACCGUAGAAGCGGCUUUAGCUCCGUUGAAGCGAUUGGCGCAAAGUCAGAAGGAACCGCAGUAGCGGUACAUCUUCUGCAGAAGCAGAUCUGCUCAUGCCGUAUGGGAACCACAGCAGCAGAAAUUGGGAAGGUUAAUGAAACCUCAAAAGCGCUCCCUUGACCGCAGAAGCGGAAAGCACUGUUAUGAAAAGGGGACAUCCGAGGGUUUAUUUCAAAAGAUAGAGAAAUCAAAAUUUAGCUCGGGGGAAGGCGAUUUUGGGUCGAUUUCGAAGAGAAUAUCAGUGGAUAAUGUUUCCUUAACCUCAUUUAGUUGUUUUCUAUCAAUAUCUAGUUAAAUCCACCAUUAGAAUCCGAAUUCAAGGUCAAAAUUGGGGAAAAUAGGAUGAAACUUCUUAGACUUAAUUAUUGUAUUUUUAGAGGGUAUUUGACCUCCGAUUUAGGAGAUUUUUAUAUGGUUACACUUGUGGUAGUACGAGGGUAAUGAAAAUGUGAAAAUUAUUCGAUUCUGAGCCGUUGGCCUGAGGGCGUUUUGAUUAUUUUACCUAUUUUCAUGCCUUAGCAGUAAUUUUAAUAGUGGAAUUAGUUACUUAUAAUGUUAUUUACGUUAUGUAGUUGGAUUGAAUAGAUUUGGGCUAUUCGGAGUCGGAUACUCGUGCCAAAGGAAUUAUUCAUAGUUUAUUUUUGUACCGGUUCGAGGUAAGUGGCUUUUCUAACUUUGCGUGGGGGACCUCUCCUGUUAGGAUAUAUUACUUGUUAUUUUAAAUGCCUUGUACGCAAGGUGACGAGUGUGUACUUGCGCUAAUUGUUUAAAAUCCGUCCCACUUAUAAUAUUUAAACUGUGUUUUCUUGCGUAUUUGCCUAAUCUAAGUGCCAUUUAACUUGUGUUAGCUAAAGAAAAGCAUGUUUAGCUGACUUACUUGCUUAUUUGCCUAAAUGGUAUUAUCUGUCCUCCGUGAAGCAUGCUAGACUAGAAAUUUUAUUAAUUGUUCUUACUUAUCAUUAUAUUAUAUUUGAAUUUUUGUGGUGUGUUUACGAUUGGGACUACGAGACGACAUCCCGAAAGGUUCCCCAGCACGUGUUACAUUCUAAGAAUGAGAGUGAGGGAUACCAAGAGAUCCCUGGCACAGAUAUUACUAUAAAAUAGAGGAUACCGGGAUCCUCGGGAUACUAAGAGAUCCCUUGUGUAUAUAUGGAGGAUACAUGGACAUACUCGGGAUACUAGGAGAUUCUCGGGAUACCAGGAGAUUCCCGAUGAUAAAUAUCCGGUGGUGAUUUGUACUUCUAUUUAUUUACUGUGUUGGUUCUCGGUUACUGUCUUAUUUAUUAUCUUGCUAGAUUCUCACAGUAGAUUAUAUCCAUGUUGUCUUUUCCUUGUCAAUUAUUAUGUUUUUAUCUCAGUAGGACCUCGACCGUCCUCGUCACUACCUGAACGAGGUUAGGCUUGGCACUUACUGAGUACCGCUAUGGUGAACUCACGCCUCUUCUGCGCAUGUUUUCCAUGUGAAGACCUAGGUACUUCUUCCCAUGCGUAUCAUCCUCGCGGCAGUGAGCAUUAGUGGAGACUCGAGAUAUAUCUGCUACGUCUGCAGACCCGAAGUCUCAAUUUCAUUCCAGCUGUAGCAUAUAGCCCCCCAUUUCCUUCUAUUAUGUUGCUUUAGAUACUCUGGUGUAGAGCGUAUUAUGAUACUCUUUUAGCAUGUGUUACCCGUGAGAUUCUGGAUCUUUUGGAUGGUUUCAGAAUCCUAAGUUUUAAAGUGUAUCUGCCAGGUUGAAACUUUAUACAUUUCUUAUGUUAUUUAGCUUUAAUUUAUUGUUUUUCGUAAAGAUUGAAAAUUUUGCAUGUGAUAGGCUUACCUCAUCGUGAAGAUUAGAUACUUUUCACGACCCUAGUUCACCAAUAUCAUAUUCCUUUAGUAGCUCCAACCAUCUCCUCGUGCGCAAGUUUAGAUCUUUGUGCUUAAGCAUCUGUUGUAAACUCCGAUGAUCUCUGUAAAUCUCAUAGGGCACGCCAUACAAAUAAUGGCGGCACAUCUUCAAGGAAUGAACAAUAGCAGCUUACUCAUGGUCAUGGACAGGGUAGUUCUUCUCAUGUAUAUUUAGCUAUCUGGACGGGUAGGCAAUCACCCUGCUAUUUUUCAUCAACAUCGCUCCAAGUCAAACAACUGAGGCAUCACAAUAUACUAUAUAAGACCCCGAACCAGUAGACAACAUCAGAAUAAGGGUUGAAGUCAAAGCUAUCUUGAGCUUCUGAAAGCUCGCCUCACACUUAUCUGUCCACUGAAAUGGAGCACCCUUCUAGGUUAAUCUAGUAUAACGGAUGGAAUACUAUGAAACAGUCAUAGCACCCUCGCGCAAAUGAUCAAACUCCUGUCAUGCAUCCCUAAGGCUCUGGGGAACGAACUCCCUCUGAAACAUAUCUGAAAACUGUGCCUAGUUUAGAGAGAAGAGUUACGCGGACCGGAAGGUUCGUGAUAUCUUCUUUAUGGUUGGUGAUCGGGUUCUGCUUCGGGUCUCACCUACGAAAGGCGUCAUGAGUUUUGGGGAGAAAUGGAAGUUUCCAGAUUUCAUAUCUACUAUCUUGAUCUUGAUUUUAUUUGGGUGUUCAUCUAGUAAAUUAAUCAAGACUUUAACUCGUGUCGUACUAAGUCGCGUUCAAUCUUUAGUAUCCUAAUAUACUGCUACAAGCUUUCUCACGGCAGAUGCGAUGGACAUUAAGGAUUUUUUUGCGAAGAAAUUUGCUGGCAGUUCAGGAAACGAAAUCCAAGUGACAGCUUUUGACGUUUCUUUACGAGGGUUAAAUCCUUUUGCCUUCACAUAGCCAGUUGUUCUUGAUAACACAUUAGCAAAAUCUUCAAAUAGAUCAAAUCUUACCAAAAUAUGCUGAUAUUCUUGCUGUCCAAUGUUACAAUUACCUUUGACGUCGAAUUGUUUCAGCAAAAUUUGUCUCAUCUCCUGAAGCUCAGGCUUUCCAUAUGAAAAUUUAAUUACAACUGCUUGUUGAAGACCUUCCUCUCCUGAAGCUCAGGCUUUCCAUAUGAAAAUUUAAUUACAACUGCUUGUUGAAUACCUUCCUCCCUAGUGAAUGCAUUCACUUCAUCUACUGUGAAUUCAACAGUAGGUAUUCCAUGCUCGAACGUAACAGGACAGAGUUCCACCUUUGAGUUUUUUGCGGCAGAUUGUUGCCCAGCAAGUUGCGAAGCAUAUGUUUGUUUGGUACCGAUAGUUGUUGGAUUUUCAGGAUUAAUUUGAGUAGCCUCUCCCACAACAAAAGGAUGGGGAGAGGGCGUAGCAUCCAUGGUUGCUUUAUCCUUCAAACACAGUCCAUCACAUCCACGCUAUCAAAAGGAAUAUCGCUGGAAAUUUGAAGAAAUUCUUGUUGCUACAGUAAAUCGUGAAAAUAAGAUUUAAGAUGUAGGAAAAUUGGUUAUAGAUUUGAGGUAAAAAUCAAUUGGGGAUUGUUCGCAAAGAGAAGAGGAUCGUGUGGCACCAAUUUUGUGACAAUCCACCGCCAAAGUCCGGAGGUAUGCCCGAUGAAUAGUGAUGGAAACACUAUUCAUCCUUCUUCCUAGAGAGAAUAUGUGAACAGUAACACUAUUCACCCGACUAAUCUUGCCCAGGGCUAUUAAUUUUAAUAGUGGAAUUAGUUACUUGUGCUGUUAUUUAGAUUAUGUUAUUGGAUUGAUUAGAUUUGUUCCAUUCAGAAUCGGAUACUCGUGGCAAAGGCGUUGUUCGUAGAUGAUUUUGGUACUGGUUCGAGGUAAGUGGCUUGUCUAACUUUGCGUGGGGGGGCCUCUUCUCUUAGGAUAUAUUACUUGUUAUUUUAAAUGCCUUGUAUACAAGGUGAUGAGCAUGUACUUGGGCUAAUUGUUUAAAAUCGGUUCUACUUAGAAUAUUUAAACUGUGUUUUCUUGCGUAUUUGCCUAAUCUAACUGCCAUUUAAUCUGUGUUAGCUUAAGAAAAGCAUGUUUAGCUUAAUCUGUCCUCUGUGAAACAUGCUAGACGAGAAAUUCUAUUAAUUGUUAUGACUUAGCAUUAUAUGAUAUUUGAAUUGUUGUGGUGUGUUUACAAUUUGGGACUACGGGACGAGAUCCUGGAAGUCCCCUUGCAGGUGUUACAUUCUAAGACUGAGAGUGCGGGAUACAAAGAGAUCCCCAACACAUAUAUGACUAUAAAAUUGAGGAUACCGGAAGAUCAUCGGGAUACUAAUUGAUCCCUUGUUUAUAAAUGGAGGAUACCAAGAGAUCCUCGGGAUACUAGGAGAUCCCUCGUGUAUAUGAUGAGGAUACCAGGAGAUCCUCGAGCUACCAGGAGAUCCCCGAUGAUAAAUAUUCGGUGGUGAUUUGUACUUCUAUUUAUUUACUGUGUUGGUUCUCGGUUACUGUCUUAUUUAUUAUCUUACUAGAUUCUUACACUAGAUUAUAUCCAUGUUGUCUUUUCCUUAUCAUAUCGAGUAUUAUGUUUUUAUCUCAUAGAUGACCAGGUAUUAUAUAGUUUUGGUGGACUCACAGAAGCUAUCACAGACCAAAAUGUGUUUUCCAACCAUGAAUGUAACAUAAUGAACCUUUCGAUCUGCAUAGCUCUUCUGUCUAAAUUAGGUUGUACGAAGCCAAUCUUGGGUCAACUUGACAUUCUCCAAGGCAUCUCAAACCAAAUAUGUUCCCAAUAACUCAGCCUCUCUAGGCUCAAACCAACCAAUUGGGAACGAUACCAUCUCCCAUAUAGGCCCUUAUAAGGAACCAUCGAAAUACUUAAUUGGUAGAUGUUACUAUCGUCAAACUCCGCAAGUGGUAUGAACUGAUCCUAAGAACCCCCGAAAUCCAUAACACAUGCACAAAGCAUAUUCUCCAAUAUCUAAAGGUGCGGUUGGACUGUCUGUCCAUCUGGGGGUGAAAUGUUAUACUCAACUCAACUCAUGUGGCUAACUCAUGCUAUAAAACUCUCUAGAAACAUCAUAUAAUUUGCGUACCCCGGUCAGAGAUGAUAGAUACUGGCAUGCCAUGAAGUUGGACAAUAUCGCUGAUGUAGAUCUUACAUCUGCUCUCAAGAAUAGGUAGUAACUAUGGGAAUGAAAUGAGCCGACUUGGUCGACCUAUCUACAAUCACCUAUACUGUAUCAAAUUUACUAUGAGUUUGUGGGAGCCCAACAAUGAAGUCUAUGAUGACACACUCCCAUUUGCACUUUGGAAUCCCAAGUCUCUGAAGCAAACUACCUACCUCUGAUGCUCAUACUUCACUCGUUGGAAGUUUAGGCACCGAGCUAUAUACUCCACAGUCUUUCUUCAUCCUCUUCCACCAAUAGUGGUUCCUCAAAUCCUGCUACAUCUUAGCGGCACCUGGUUGAAUGGAGUAUUGUGAACUAUGGGUCUCCUAAAUAAUUAACUCACACAACCCAUCCACAUUGGGCACACAUAACUGGCCCUGCAUCCAUAACUCACCGUCAUCUCCAAUAGAAACCUCAUUGGCAUCGCUGCGCUGAACCGUGUCCUUAAGGACAAGCAAAUGAACGUCAUCAUACCGACGCUCUAUGAUGAGAUCAUAUAGGAAAGACUAAGAGACCAUGCAAGCAAGAACUCGAAUGGGCUCCAAAACAUCCAAUCUACAAAUUGGUUAGCCAAGGCCUUAGUGCCCUCUCUGCUGCCAGUGGAUAAGCUAAAUUGCCCAAGCUCUCUGCCUUUUGACUCAAGGCAUCGUUCAUCACAUUGGCCUUCCCAGGGUCGUAUAGUAUAGUAAUAUCAUAGUUUUUAUGCAACUCUAACCAUCUCUGCUUCCAUGAUUUAAGAUAUUUCUAUUUGAAUAGAUGUUAUAGACUCCGAUGUUUGGUAAAGACCUCACAAGGGACACCAUACAAAUAGUGCCACCAAAACCUCGAGGUAUGAAUAAUAGCUGCCAAUUCCAAGUCAUGGACUAGAUAGUUCUUCUCAUGGACCUUUAGUUGUUGAGAGGAAUAGGCAAUCACCCAACCAUCAUGCAUCAACAUCGUGCCAAGGCCAACAUGGGACUCAUCACAGUACAUAGUGUUAGAACCCAAACCUGUAUGCAACACCGACGCUGAAGCUAUAGUCAAAGAAGUCUUGAGCUUUUGAAAGCUCACCUCACACUGCUCGAGCCAUCUGAAAGAAGCACCCUUCAAGGCCAAUAUGGUCAGACGUAGAACAAUAUAUGAGAAACCCUCUACAAAACGACGAUAAUACCCGGCCAAACCAAGGAAACUUUGAAUCUCUGUAGUUGAGGACAAUCUGAGCCAACUUUGAAAUGCUUUAAUCUUUACAGAUUUACCAUGAUCCCCUUACUCGAUACCACAUGACCCAAAUAUGCCACUUAAUCAACCUAGAAUUCGCAGUUCGAGAAUUUUGCAUACAACUUCUUCUCUCUCAAGGUCUGUAGCAUGAUCCUCAACUGUUGGCUAUGAUCUUCCCGGCUAUGAGUGUACACAAAAAUGUCGUCGAUAAACAUAAUGAGGAAUGAAUAUAGAUAUGGCUGGAAUACAAUAUUCCUCAGGUGCAUAAAUGUUGUUGGGGCAUUGGUAGCCCAGAUGAUAUUACAAGGAACUUGUAGUCACCAUACUAACAUCUAAAGGUAGUCUUCAGAAUAUCCGGAUCACGAAUCAUUAGAUGAUGAUAAACCGAUCACAAAUCAAUCUUCAAGAAUACUCUAACACUAUGUAGCUGAUCAAAUAAGUCAUCAAUGCACGAUAAUGGAUAUAUGUUUUUUAAUGUAGCCUUGUUCAAAUACCGAUAAUCAAUAGAAACAUUCUUUUUCUUCACAAAUACGACUAGAGAACACAUGCGUCAACACACUACGCUGAAUAAAACCUUUAUCAAGAGACUCCUGAAACUGCCUAUUUAACUCCUUCAACUCUACUGGGGCUAUACAAUAUGGUGGAACAAAAAUUGGUUGAGUGUCUAGCAAUAAGUCAAUAACAAAAUCAAUAUCCAUAUCGAGUGGAUACUCGGAAGAUAUGCUGGAAAGACAUCUGGGAAGUCUCUCACUGUUGGACUGACUCAACGGUAGGAGUAUCAGCACAGACAUCUCUCAUAAAGGUUAGAUAGGCAUCACACCACUUUCUCAACCAUUCGCUAAGCAUUUAGAAAUGACAUAACCCUACUAAGAACAUAAUCUAAUGCACAUUUCCAUUCUUACCGUGGCAAACUUGUCAUGGCAAAUGUUAUAGUCUUGGUAUGACAAUCUAGGAUAGUAUGAUAUGAAAAAAACAUGUUGAUGCCCAAGAUAUGUAAGGUGUCUACAGAUUUCCGGAGAAUAUAAUAUCUAUUCAAGCAAAAAAGAUUUGAACUUGAAGCAACGAAAGUGGUUAGAUCUAUUGAAGGAUUAUGAUAUCAGCAUUCUUUAUUGAAGGCUAAUAUGAUGGUUGACACCUUGAGUAGGAAGGUGGAGAGUAUGGGGAGUCUUGCUUUUAUUCUAGAUGGGGAGAGGCCUUUGGAAUUGGAUGUUCAUGCUUUGGCCAACAGGUACGUGAUAAUGUAUAUUUUGGAUCCCAGUAGAGUCUUUGCUUGUGUUGUAUCAUAGUCGCCCUAGUUUGAGUGCAUCAAGACUCACCAGUAUGAUAAUUCCCAAUUGCUUGUCCUUAGGAACACGGUGCAGUGAGGUGGUGCCAAGGAGGUGAUUAGUGGAGAUGAUUGUCUAUUGCGGCUUCAGGGUCAAAGUUUUGUGCCUAAUAUGGAUGAGUUAGGGGAGCUGAUUCUUCAGGAGGCCCAUAGUUUGCCGUACUUCAUUCAUCUAGGUGCCGCGUAGAUGUACCAUGAUUUGCAGCAGAAUUUUUGUGGGGGAGGAUAAAGAAAUACAUUAUUGGUUAUGUUGCUCGAUGUGGGAAUUGUCAGUAGGUCAAGUACGAACACCAGAGACCUGGUGGUUUGCUUCAGAGGCUAGAUAUAGCAUAAUAGAAGUGGGAGCAUAUCACUAUAUAUUUUGUGGUUUGACUACAAUGAACCGUGAGGAGAUUUGAUGUUGUGUGGGUCAUUGUCGACAGACUGACCAAAUCUACAUACUUUAUUCCAGUCAUGACUUCCUACACUUCAAGCAAUUGGCUCAUUUAUCUUAGAGAGAUUGCUUGGCUAAAUGGUGUGCCUAUGUCUAUUAUCUCGGAUCGAGGCACUCAGUUUACAUCAUAUUUUUGGAGAGCGGUGCAGUAUGAGUUGGGUACACAUGUUGAGUUGAGUACGGCAUUUCAUACCAGACAGCCGAGCAGUUCGGGCAUACUCUCCAAAUCUUAGAGGAAAUGCCGAGAGCAUGUGUCAUUGAUUUCAGGCGCUAGUGGAAUCAAUUUUUUCCAUUAGUAGAGUUCGCCUAUAAUAGAAGCUACCACUAGAGUAUCCGGAUGGAUCCGUAUGAGGCCUUACAUAAGAGGAGAUGUCAUUCUCCAGUUGGGUUGUCUAGGUUGUUACGCACUGAUUUGGUUCAUGAUGCUUUAGAGAAGGUAAAAUUUAUUUAUGAGAGGCUUUUACAGCACAAUCGUGGAAAAAGCGUUUUGUUGAUAGGGAGGCUCGUGAUGUAGCAUGUAUUGUGGGUGAGAGGGUUCUACAUAGAGUGUCUCACAUUAAGAGUGUGAUGCGGUUAGGGAAGAAGGGUAAGUAGAUCCCCCGGUAUAUUGGUCUUUUCGAGGUGUUAAAGAGAGUUGGAGAGGUAACCUACAUACUUGCUUUGCCAGCCAUCUAAUCGGUAGUUCAUCUGGUGUUCCAUAUUUUCAUGCUCCGGAAGAACUAUGAGGAUCCGUCACAUGUGUUGGAUUUCAACUUAGUGCGGUUGGAAAAGGAUUUGACCUAUGAAAAAUAGCCAAUGGCCAUUUUUGACAGAUAUGUUUGGAAGCUGAUGUCGAAGGAUAUUACAUAGGUGAAGGUUCAAUAGAGAGGUCGAUCGGUCAAAGAGGCAACUUAGGAGACCGAGCAUGAUAUGCAAAAGAAAUACCCUCAUCUUUUUGAUAUCCCAGGUAUGAUUCUAAACCAAUUCGAGACGAAUAUUUGAUUAAGAGGGGAGAAUGUAACUACCCUGUUGAUAGCCAAUUUUGACCCUCCCUUUUAAUGUUACUUUAUUUAUACUUAAUGUUUUAAAUAAAUAUUUUCAAAAAUAUUGUUAUUCAAUAAAAUUAUUUUUGACAAAAAUUAAUUUAGUAUUAAUAAUUUUGAAACUAAUAAUUCGAUGUUAUAAUUAAACUAUUCUUACAAUUUUUUAGAUAAAUAAUUAAUUUUAUAAAAUAAUGCAUACGCUUUUUAUUUCACUUGAUGACUUAUUUCUUAAAUUCUAAUUAAUUAGAUUACUAUGUUAAUCAUUUGUAGUUAAUGUUAUAAUCCUAAAAAUGAAGUAUUUAUAAAUAACAAAAUGUGAUAGUUAGUAACGUAUAUGAUGAUUAUAGUUUUAUUACAUUUUAUCAAAAAUAAAUAAGUUUGUAUAAUUUACUUUCAAGAGGGUUUAAAAUGGCGAAAGGUCAUAAUUGUAGUUCUCUAUUAAAGACCAAAUGGCUAUUUUUCAAACCAUUUUAGCCCAGCACACAAGCCUAAUCCGGAAAAUACCCGGUCCAAGCUCCCCUUCCACUCCACUUUGGCAAUCCAUGUCACUCCCUAUAAACCCAUGGUGGUGCGCCACAUCACCUAUCUCAAUCACUCACAUAACAAACAUAAUUAAUCCAAGGCGUCCAUCUUAUAGAUCAACAGCUCCGAAAUUAUCCCCGUUUUUCCUUUAAUUUCGAUACCCAUCAGAUUUAAUCGUGGCCAUUGAGAUCAGGAAAUCCAACAGCCUUAUAUUUUCUCCUUAAAAGAUUUUAAACCCGAAAUUAUUAGGGUCGUUGAUCCAUUGAUCCAACAGCCUGAAUUCAUUCAUUUUACCUUAUCCUAGAGAUAGAUCCCCUAACUCUAAUCAUUCCAUCCUUUGACUCCGCUGCUCCAUUUUCCCUUUCUCUCUUGUUUCCUCUCAAAUCCUAGACCAAACAGUCUCAAAACCUUGCACCAAAUCGUGCAAGGUCGUAAAUCUUGACCCAAAACCGCCUCUUUGCUCCCCUAUAUGGGAAUUCCACCAGAACCUUCCCGUUUAGCCUUCCCUUUUCAUCACUCAUAUUUCGUUUCUUGAGUUCUUUGGACUCGAACAUAAACACAAAACUUGAAGUCCUCAAAGAUUUUGAUGUUUCAACCGAAUCACUUAUGCAUGGUACAUCUCAUGAUUAUUAUUCUAAACCAGAGGUCAAAUGCAAUGGCCUCUGGACCUCUAGUCUUUACCCGAUGAAUUUCACAUGUAAUGGUUGUCGUGCACUCAAGUAAAUUUCUCACUCGUUUUUUCUCUUAGAUUUACUCUGACUUUACCCUCUCUGCUAUCAUUAUCUAUCCUUCAUCAUCUUCCACAAUUUAUUUUGAAUCUGAAGCCCUAGGGCUUCAUAGCCACUAUAAAUUGGGGCUUUUAAUGCUUUCACCUAAGCAGUGUUUUGGAGGCGACAAGGGCUGGCCUUGCUUCAAAGCGCAAAAAAGCCCACGCUUUUUUAAAGUGAAGCGCAAUUCUUAAAAAACAUUAUGUAAAAUUAUAAAUAAUUAAAAGCAUCAAUUUAAAUACUUAAAAGUAGGUACUAGGUACCACCACAUCAUCCACAAACCAUAGACAAGUUACAUAAUAUCUUCUGAGUAAGGCAAAUCCAAAAGCAUACCCUCUCCAUAACAUAUAACCAAGUAUUCAACACAACAUAUCAAAGGAGGAAUAUUGCUAAUCGAAGCCCAAAGGCAAUUGUCAUAGAAAUUCACAUUUACUAAAUUUUCCCUCAUACUUAGUUGAGUCCUGAAUAUCAUUGAAAGUAGCCCGAUAUGAUAAGAUCUGCUCUAGUUCAUGUACUAAAUUACUAGAAGUCAAUCAACAUCUUAUUCUUCUAUGUCAUGAAAAUAAACUGAAAUUAUAUAAAUUAUGAAAAUAAACUGAAAUUAUAUAAAUUAUAAUAAUUAACUGAAAUUAUAUAAAUUAUAAUAAUUAACUGAAAAUAAUCUGAAAUUACAUAAAUUAUGAAAAUAAACUGAAAUUAUAUAAAUUAUAAAGUUAUAAUAAUUAACUGAAAUUAUAUAAAGUAAUAACAUAAUUAUAUAAAGUUAUAAUAUAAUGUAAUUAUAUAAAGUUAAAAUAACUAAAACUAAAUAGAUAUAUAUAUAUACUUAACAGAAAACAAAAGGGAAAACAAAACAUCAAUCUUCCACCUCGUUCGUAACAGAUAUGAACGAGAAACAGAGAGAGAAGGAGAGAAGAAACAGAACGAAGAAAAAAAAAACGUGAACUCAAGAACAGAAGAAGAAAAAAAUUAAGAAGAAGAAGAAGAUCGACUGGGUCUCGUCGACUGAAGAAGAAGAUGGAAGAAGAAGAAAAAAGAAAAAAACAAGAAGAAAGGAGAAGAAAAAAAUACCUGGGUUGGGAUGAAACCCUAAUUUUCUGCAACUGGAGAAGAAGAAGAGAGGCUGGUCCACCUCUGUUUGGGACUAAUAUAGGUAUUUUUGAGACCCCAAAGUUUUUUUUUUUAAAAAAGACCUCUGCAUGCGCUUUCUUCAAUUAAGCGAUCGCUUUUGCGCUUCGAUCGCUUCUGCGCGUUUGCGCUUCUGCCAUGGAAGCGAUCGCUUCUCUAGGUCGCCUCGCUUCAGCCUGCAAAAAGCGAUAGAGGGUCGCUUCGCGUCGCUUCGCGACGAAGCGACCGCUUUUCAAAACACUGCACCUAAGACACAACAAGAUAUAUCUACUAGAUGCAUUUAACAAGAAAAGCUAAUAAUUAACAUAAUGUUUAGGAAGAUUUCGGCUAAGUUGAGUUAUUGGUCAGUUUUCUACUUUUUUAUGACAAUGAGUGUAUUACUGAUUAAGAGGUUGAGCUCUUACUUACCUAAAUGACUAAUUCGAAUACUCGUUUGGUUUUCUUCCCCAAAAAAGGUCAGCAAACUUCAACCUUACUCUUUUGUUUUACUAGUUUAAGUCCCUAAAUGUGAAAUAUUUUACUAUCUCUACCGAUUGAUCUUACCGAUAAUACAUUCAUGCCUUUUAAUUAUUUUAUCUAUUUGUUAAUGACUAACGAGUACAUUUUGCAACCCGAAACUUCUUUUAAAAAACAUUUGAAUGCUAAAAUGCAUAUGUUGAUUCAUGUCUAUUGUUAACUCUGACAUGAUUUCUUGACUAUCUUAAAUACUUAGUUCCAAAUCUAUCUCUCUCUCUUAUAUGCUUUGUUAAUAGUGUUAUGAUUACUACACUAACAUGCUUUGAACAUCAUUCACCAUUCACAUUUAUUCAUUUAAUUCAAUAGAAUCUGAUUAUGUUAAGGGCUAAAAGAUCAAAUUGUUAUUUUGGUUCUACUUAUGCCCUUUGAAUCUACUCUCAUAUCUUUAUUGUAUCUAUGUGAUUUUGUUGAUUACUUGAUUGAACUUAUGUCCCUUUAUGUAUGCAUAUAUUUAGUUAGUUGGUUCUUCAUAUUGCAUUUGUAUGUGAAUCUUAGACUGGUUUAUAUUGAACCUAUGUUAUGAAAGCUGCUGAAAUGUAUCUAAGUUGUGAUAACACAUUUGUUCAUUUAAAACACUCCUGCUAAGUUCCUUUGUACCUGAAGCCUAAUCUCAAACACACUUAGCAUUUUUCCCUUGAUUUGAUGAUAUAUUUAUCCUUAUUAAACCUCAUAUGAUGUCACUGUUAGUAAUACUUCCAUGACAUAAUCUCUGCUAAGUUCCCUUUGUGUGUGAUUAUGAUCCUGUAUUCAGCUAUGAUUUCCAACAUCUCUAUUUGACUUUCAUUACCACACGUAUGCCCACACUGCUAUGAAAACUUGACUAAGUUCUCUCAAGUAUACAAGACAUAACUCCAAAUGACCUCUUUGUUACUACUGCUUGGAUAUAACUGUUUGCUUCAUUUUAAUAGAAUUAGUUUAAAGUUAAAACUCCUAAAAGAGGUAAAUUUGUCAUUAAUUCUUAAUUUGAGGUAUGAUAGAUAAUCUGAGACCUUGUUAAUAAUCUUAGGAGCUGUAAUUAGAUUUGUGAACCUGUGACCUUAUUAGUGUCCUUAGAAGUUCUAAUUUGUGAUCUUGUAGUCUCCCUAAAAGCGUUGUUCUAGGAUAAAAUAUGCGAUCCUGUCAAUUUUUUUUGUAGUGCAAUAAUCUGUAUCAGUACAGUGUAGUUCUAAUUAUGGUUACUACUUUUAUAUUCUAUCAAUACUCCUUGAAUGUUCUAUUCAAAAUUGUUAAAAUGUGCCUCACGAUUAAGGCUAUUGAUAUGUAUUUAUCAUUAAAGAUGUAUAAACUGUCUGCAUUAGCAUUCUUUGGAAGGCAUUAACUGUAGUAAUGAAUCUGCAAUGUGGUUGACAUUCUCAGGAUUUUAGUUGUAAUCGUUAAACUAUCCUCUCCUAAUUCCCCUAGAUGUUUGAUUUCUUAACAGGAGCAUGACAAAGUAUGUUUGAAGAUUGUCUUCUUUGAAGCUAUUUAAUGUGUUAAUCAUCCAUUUAGUAUUGGAAAUGGUUAAGAUAUUGUAGAUAGACUGCCUUGUGGCCUUAUGAUAUUCUGUUUGGCACUCAUAAGAAGGGUGUACACUUAUGUGGUAUGGUAUUGCUAUGGUGAUCGGUUUACAUUGAAAAUGCCUCAUUGGCACUUAACCUAUGGGGAAGAGUGAGUAAUUAAUGGUUAGGCGUAUUUGGGAGUAGAGUUUAACUCUUGGUUGGGCUGCUCUCCCAAGCACAAGCAUUGCCCUAUGCCCUUGAGACCCUUUGGAACUUUGAAGUGUCAGGGGAUACAAAGGGGGAUUUGUCCUUGAGUAAAACUCUAUCCCUAGCCUCUAAUCCAUUAAUAUUCAUUACUCUUUUUGGGUUAAGUGUUUAAGAUAAAAAAGGGUUUCAAGGUAAAUCACUUUACAAUAUGUAACCUCCACAUUAGUAUAAUCUUUUAUAGUAUUUAAGUACUGCUAGUUGUUAUAUUGUUCAAGUCACUUACAUAUUUCAUGUAUAAUUAUAUGUAUAGAAUAUUAUUUCUAAUGACUUUCUCUCUUUCUUUUCUGAACAUGUAAAACCACUGGGCCUGCCGCAUUCUCAAGAAUCCCAGGCCCAAAUCUUGUGUCAUGCAUCUGAACAUCUAGAGCUUAUUGUUGUCCAUUCCUGCUAAUUGUCGGGCCUACCUCUUUUAUUCUGAUUCAAUUCACAUUCCAAACUAUGUAUUUUCUUUGUUGCUGCAGUUCAUCAGUUUGUGAUUUCCAAUGCUAUGUGAUAUUCUACUUAAUAUGCAAUCAGCAUGCCUAGAUUAUUGUAUCACAAAAACUUGUUUAAGCUUAUUCUGUUAAAGGCUAUAACUCUCACACUGUUUCGCAUUGUCAAUCCUGCUUUAAAUAAUUGGUUCACUAACAUUUCCCAAGCUGCAUUGUGUGUAUAUGAUUUCACCUAGCAUGACCAAAUUCUGCAUGUUCUGUAUGUGAAAAGUAUUUCUAAAACCUUGAAUAUUUCAUGAAGCUUUUGUCUAGUUUGUUCAUCUAAGUCCAGUUUGUUCUAUUUCACUAAUGAUGUCACGAUCCUAGUUUGCCCUCCAUGAAAAUUUUGUGACGGAACCUAGUCCCUAUAACUAGGUAAGCCUAACA
rnacentral:lncRNA from 1 species